AUUGAACGCUGGCGGAAUGCUUUACACAUGCAAGUCGAACGGCAGCACGGGGGCAGCCCUGGUGGCGAGUGGCGAACGGGUGAGUAAUACAUCGGAACGUGCCCGGUCGUGGGGGAUAACGUAGCGAAAGUUACGCUAAUACCGCAUACGAUCUGAGGAUGAAAGCGGGGGACCUUCGGGCCUCGCGCGAUCGGAGGGGCCGAUGUCAGAUUAGGUAGUUGGUGGGGUAAAGGCCUACCAAGCCGACGAUCUGUAGCUGGUCUGAGAGGACGACCAGCCACACUGGGACUGAGACACGGCCCAGACUCCUACGGGAGGCAGCAGUGGGGAAUUUUGGACAAUGGGCGCAAGCCUGAUCCAGCCAUUCCGCGUGCAGGACGAAGGCCUUCGGGUUGUAAACUGCUUUUGUACGGAACGAAAAGGCUCUGGCUAAUACCUGGGGCUCAUGACGGUACCGUAAGAAUAAGCACCGGCUAACUACGUG
rnacentral:rRNA from 1 species